rnacentral:rRNA from 1 species
AGGACGAACGCUGGCGGCGUGCUUAACACAUGCAAGUCGAGCGGAAAGGCCACUUCGGUGGUACUCGAGCGGCGAACGGGUGAGUAACACGUGAGUAAUCUGCCCUCCACUUUGGGAUAGCCACCGGAAACGGUGAUUAAUACCGGAUAUGACCUCGGCCCGCAUGGGUUGUGGUGGAAAGUUUUUCGGUGGGGGAUGUGCUCGCGGCCUAUCAGCUUGAUGGUGGGGUAAUGGCCUACCAUGGCUUCGACGGGUAGCCGGCCUGAGAGGGUGACCGGCCACACUGGGACUGAGACACGGCCCAGACUCCUACGGGAGGCAGCAGUGGGGAAUAUUGACAA